UACGGGGGGGGCAAGCGUUGUUCGGAAUUACUGGGCGUAAAGGGUCUGUAGGUGGCCAACUAAGUCAGACGUGAAAUCCCUCAGCUUAACUGGGGAACUGCGUCUGAUACUGGUUGGCUUGAGUGCAGGAGAGGAAUGCGGAAUUCCAGGUGUAGCGGUGAAAUGCGUAGAUAUCUGGAGGAACACCGGUGGCGAAGGCGGCAUCCUGGACCAACACUGACGCUGAGUGAGCGAAAGCCAGGGGAGCAAACGGG
rnacentral:rRNA from 1 species